GCGAGGGUUUUCCGGACCCUAGCGGCGGACGGGUGAGUAACACGUAGGCAACCUGCCUGUAAGACUGGGAUAACAUAGGGAAACUUAUGCUAAUACCGGAUAGGGUUUUGCUUCGCAUGAAGCGAAACGGAAAGAUGGCGCAAGCUAUCACUUGCAGAUGGGCCUGCGGCGCAUUAGCUAGUUGGUGAGGUAAAGGCUCACCAAGGCGACGAUGCGUAGCCGACCUGAGAGGGUGACCGGCCACACUGGGACUGAGACACGGCCCAGACUCCUACGGGAGGCAGCAGUAGGGAAUUUUCCACAAUGGACGAAAGUCUGAUGGAGCAACGCCGCGUGAACGAUGAAGGCUUUCGGGUCGUAAAGUUCUGUUGUUAGGGAAGAAACAGUGCCAUUUAAAUAAGAUGGCGCCUUGACGGUACCUAACGAGAAAGCCACGGCUAACUACGUGCCAGCAGCCGCGGUAAUACGUAGGUGGCAAGCGUUGUCCGGAAUUAUUGGGCGUAAAGCGCGCGCAGGUGGCUAUGUAAGUCUGAUGUUAAAGCCCGAGGCUCAACCUCGGUUCGCAUUGGAAACUGCGUAGCUUGAGUGCAGGAGAGGAAAGUGGUAUUCCACGUGUAGCGGUGAAAUGCGUAGAGAUGUGGAGGAACACCAGUGGCGAAGGCGACUUUCUGGCCUGUAACUGACACUGAGGCGCGAAAGCGUGGGGAGCAAACAGGAU
rnacentral:rRNA from 1 species